GCGGGGAUGCAGGCGUGCCAGGGCCACCUGCCGGAACCAGUUCUCCCUCUCUGCCCCCACAACGAACUUGUGGCUGGACACAGCCCCCACUGCAUGCACGAAGUGGCCCGGUGACUAAGUGCUCCCCGGUGGCCAAUGAUGCGAUGAUGCGCCACUUUCAGGUCUCAGUCUAGGAAUGGAGCGCACACGCCUUGUCAGUGUCUUCCUAUUUGGAACUCGGAGGUGCCGGGCCCAGCUUCCGCCACACACAGCAGGACCACAGCCUCAGGGGUGGCAGAGAGAAGAACGAGGAGCCUGGGUCCCGGAACAUCUGGGUGGGUGGAGCUACCCACCUGCCCACCCACCUCCGCACCACCCCAUGAAAGAGCAAAACAAACGUCACUGCUUUUCCAACUGCUUUACAGUUGGGGCUCUUCGCUGCUGUGGCAGAUCUCUACCUAACAGUGACAGUAAGGACGCCCCAACCAUGCACCAGCCACCCCCACCCCGCCUGCCUGAUUUCGAUGACCCUGUAAAGGCAAACCCCACCUAUUGGGGGAAAUCUAAACCCAAGGGCCCUUUCUCCCUCCAUCUGCGUUCUGUGGCCACAGCCCCACAGGAAAUAGGGGUUCAUUCAUUCGGGCAAAACUUCUGAGCACCCACGGUAAAAGGCAUCAUGCCAUACACUAGGGAUAGCUAAAGCCAACAGAAAUAAGAAAGCCAAAGAGAAACCCCUCCUGGGGGUGGGCCCUCGGAACUGCAUGCCUUCCACUCAGAAGUUAAGCUUUGGGUCUUCUAGCCUGGUCCGCUUAGCACUUUGUGGAUACCUUUUUACGUAACAGGUACUCAAGUAUUUGUUAGUUGAAUCAAUACAUUCAAUUUGUUCUCAAUGAACCUCAGUCUAACAGCAGAAACAGAGGAAAC